GCAGUCCAUGGGACUCUCAAGAGUCUCCUCCAGCACCGUAAUUCAAAAGCUGGAGGAGACUCUUGAGAGUCCCAUGGACUGC
rnacentral:miRNA from 1 species